GCUCACCAAGGCGACGAUCCGUAGCCGACCUGAGAGGGUGAUCGGCCACACUGGGACUGAGACACGGCCCAGACUCCUACGGGAGGCAGCAGUAGGGAAUCUUCCGCAAUGGACGAAAGUCUGACGGAGCAACGCCGCGUGAGUUAUGAAGGUUUUCGGAUCGUAAAGCUCUGUUGUAAGGGAAGAACAAGUGCGAGAGUAACUGCUCGCACCUUUGACGGUACCCUUAACCAGAAAGCCACGGCUAACUAACGUGCCAGC
rnacentral:rRNA from 1 species